rnacentral:rRNA from 1 species
AUUGAACGCUGGCGGCAGGCCUAACACAUGCAAGUCGAGCGGAUGAAGGGAGCUUGCUCCUGGAUUCAGCGGCGGACGGGUGAGUAAUGCCUAGGAAUCUGCCUGGUAGUGGGGGAUAACGUCCGGAAACGGGCGCUAAUACCGCAUACGUCCUGAGGGAGAAAGUGGGGGAUCUUCGGACCUCACGCUAUCAGAUGAGCCUAGGUCGGAUUAGCUAGUUGGUGGGGUAAAGGCCUACCAAGGCGACGAUCCGUAACUGGUCUGAGAGGAUGAUCAGUCACACUGGAACUGAGACACGGUCCAGACUCCUACGGGAGGCAGCAGUGGGGAAUAUUGGACAAUGUGCGAAAGCCUGAUCCAGCCAUGCCGCGUGUGUGGAGAAGGUCUUCGGAUUGUAAAGCACUUUAAGUUGGGAGGAAGGGCAGUAAGUUAAUACCUUGCUGUUUUGACGUUACCAACAGAAUAAGCACCGGCUAACUUCGUG